rnacentral:rRNA from 1 species
CGGCGUGCCUAAUACAUGCAAGUCGAACGCUUCUUUCCUCCCGAGUGCUUGCACUCAACUGGAAAGAGGAGUGGCGGACGGGUGAGUAACACGUGGGUAACCUACCCAUCAGAGGGGGAUAACACUUGGAAACAGGUGCUAAUACCGCAUAACAGUUUAUGCCGCAUGGCAUAAGAGUGAAAGGCGCUUUCGGGUGUCGCUGAUGGAUGGACCCGCGGUGCAUUAGCCAGUUGGUGAGGUAACGGCUUACCAAGGCCACGAUGCAUAGCCGACCUGAGAGGGUGAUCGGCCACACUGGGACUGAGACACGGCCCAGACUCCUACGGGAGGCAGCAGUAGGGAAUCUUCGGCAAUGGACGAAAGUCUGACCGAGCAACGCCGCGUGAGUGAAGAAGGUUUUCGGAUCGUAAAACUCUGUUGUUAGAGAAGAACAAGGACGUUAGUAACUGAACGUCCCCUGACGGUAUCUAACCAGAAAGCCACGGCUAACUACGUGCCAGCAGCCGCGGUAAUACGUAGGUGGCAAGCGUUGUCCGGAUUUAUUGGGCGUAAAGCGAGCGCAGGCGGUUUCUUAAGUCUGAUGUGAAAGCCCCCGGCUCAACCGGGGAGGGUCAUUGGAAACUGGGAGACUUGAGUGCAGAAGAGGAGAGUGGAAUUCCAUGUGUAGCGGUGAAAUGCGUAGAUAUAUGGAGGAACACCAGUGGCGAAGGCGGCUCUCUGG